UACGAAGGGUGCAAACGUUGCUCGGAAUUAUUGGGCGUAAAGCGCACGUAGGCGGCUUGGCAAGUCGGAUGUGAAAGCCCUCGGCUCAACCAAGGAAGUGCAUCCGAAACUGCUGAGCUUGAGUACUUAAGAGGAUCGCGGAAUUCCCGGUGUAGAGGUGAAAUUCGUAGAUAUCGGGAGGAACACCAAUUGCGAAGGCAGCUCGCUGGGACGUUACUGACGCUGAGACGCGAAAGCGUGGGGAGCAAACAGG
rnacentral:rRNA from 1 species